GAUGAACGCUGGCGGCGUGCCUAAUACAUGCAAGUCGAGCGAACAGACGAGGCUCUUUCUCCUCUGACGUUAGCGGCGGACGGGUGAGUAACACGUGGAUAACCUACCUAUAAGACUGGGAUCACUUCGGGAAACCUGAGCUAAUACCGGAUAACAUGUUGAACCGCAUGGUUCAACAGUGAAAGACGGUCUUGCUGUCACUUAUAGAUGGAUCCGCGCCGCAUUAGCUAGUUGGUAAGGUAACGGCUUACCAAGGCAACGAUGCGUAGCCGACCUGAGAGGGUGAUCGGACACACUGGAACUGAGACACGGUCCAGACUCCUACGGGAGGCAGCAGUAGGGAAUCUUGCGCAAUGGGCGAAAGCCUGACGGAGCAACGCCGCGUGAGUGAAGAAGGUCUUCGGAUCGUAAAACUCUGUUAGUAGGGAAGAACAAAUGUGUAAGUAAAUAUGCACGUCUUGACGGUACCUAAUCAGAAAGCCACGGCUAACUACGUG
rnacentral:rRNA from 1 species